CAGAACCCGUAGCAAGCCUGCUAUACUCUCUGAGUUGUCACCUUCGGCGGCCGAACCUGGCUUUUCUGCCUUGGUUCUUUUCUUGCAAAACCUCUUUUCAUUUUAGCUUAAAAACAUUAAAACAUACGACAUUACUUUAGAAAAACAUAAAUCUUACCCUUCUAGAGAAUUCCGACAUCCUGGAUUCUACCGGACGACAGGAAUUCCGAUGCCGGACUCUAGCCGGGUAUUACAUGCCUGAUGGUUACCUACCUUGUGGUUUAGGCAAAAAUGUCCUCAACUUAAUUAUUUUAUUAAUUGAGACUAAUACCCGAGUAUCUGCUUGGCGGUUACCCGCUUUGUGGCUUAGGCAAAAAUGCGUUUAAUUUAUUAAUUGAAACUAACACCCGAACAUCUGUCUGGCAGUUACCCGCUUGAUGGUUUAGGAAAAAAUUUCUUUAUUAUUUGGGAAUAACACCCGGAUAUUUGCCUGGCAGUUACCCGCAUUGUGACUUAGAAAAAAUACCUUUAAUUUAUUAAUUGGGACUAACACCCGAACAUCUGCCUAGCGGUUACCCGUCUUGUGGCUUAAGCAAAAAUGUCUUUAAUUUGUUAAUUGGGACUAACAUUCGAACAUCUACCUGGCGGGCUACCCACUUUGUUGUAACGACCCGAAAACCGGACCGCUACCGGCGCUAGGAUCCAGAUCGGCAUAAGGCCGCCGGGACCCGUAGCAAGCCUAACAUACAUCCUGUAUACCUGUUAAAUCCCAUACAUGAUCAAACAUAUACAUAAAACUUUAAACUUAUUCUUUCAUUUACCAAGCUUAAUCUGUGCAUGCACAACUCAUAAACAUAAAAACCCACACUGGAGCCCUCAUCAAAUGCUCCAAUGGGGCAACAUAUCAUACAUUAAGCUUGGUUUACAUAAACAUCAUUAAAUUAUUUCAUUAAAAGAUCAUGUACCAAAAGGGAUUAACAUACACUAGGGCCAAUCACAAUUCUAUCCUCAAUACAAUUCUUUACAUUACAUCACAUUAUAACAUUUUACAAUACAUGUCCAUAUCUAACUAUUAUAUACAACAUGACUUCUUUACUCUUGCUAACUUCCUGGUUUAUUCCGUACCUGCAAACCUGGGGGAUUAAGGGAAUGGGGUGAGCUACUAGAGCCCAGUGAGCAGAAUAAUAAAAUAUUAUAUUAAAAUUCAUGCUUUCAUGAAAUGCAUCACAUCACAAACAAAUCACAUCAAGGAUGGACUUGUCACCAAUAGCCCUCUACACAUUCUAAUAGUGCCAGGGGCGUAGCAUGGGCCUCACUGGUCUUUCUCUUACAUAAGAUAACAUAACAUUCCGAUAUGCCAGGGGCGUAGAAUGGGCCUCACUGGUCUUUCUCUUACAUCGUACCAGGGGCGUAGAAUGGGCCUCACUGGUCUUACAUACCAUACCAUAUCAUAUUGUAUCAUGUCAUCAUACGAGGGCCAAUGGAUCAUUCAACACCCAUCCACAUCAACAUUAUAUUGUGCAAUGCAACAUAUUCGUGAAUUCUAGUGCAAACAACCUAAUAUAUCACAUGGCAUUCGUGAUGCAUGAACAUGCUCGAAAUUUAUUUGCUUUGAAACGUAAAGAUCCAUUCUACUCACCUCAGGCUAGCUCUGAAAAGACACUGAAGUAGCUAUCUCACUGUUGGGGUCCUCGGUUCCUCGGGUCCGAACCUACACAGGUGGACUCAAAUGAGGGACCAAACAUACAUGAACAUGACUCUAAACUAUUCUCCAAAAACCCCCUAAAACACUCUAAAACAUUCAUAGAAAACAUGCAAAGGAAGGCUGAACAGGCACCUUCGGCGGCAGGUUCGGCGGCCGAAAGUCCCUCCAGAGCCGAAACUCAGCCACUUUCGGCAGCACCUUCGGCGGCCGAAAGUGGUUCCAAAGCCGAAACUCGUGCAUGUUCGGCGGCACCUUCGGCGGCCAAAACUCCCCUCAAGAGCCGAAAGUCCAACUUUCGGAGGCAGGGUUCGACAGCCAAAGGCUUGCCUCCACAGGCAGGUUCGGCGGCCGAAAGUCAUUCGGCUGCCGAACCUGAGUUCUUCCAAAGGGCAGAACUCAGCCUCCUCAUGCACAUUUUGCCUCCCAAACCAUUCAAACAUGCAUUUAGCUAUUCUACAACAUGCAUACACAAGCAAAUAAGCAUAUAGGGGUCUCAAACUAUCCUAAACCCCAAAACAAACACAUAUAGCAACUCAUACAACACACAUUAUCCAUAAACUCAACAUUAACCUAAACAUGCAUUUCUACCCCAUAACCCCUCAAAACUUGUUUAAAACAUACAAGAAAGGUAGGAUCUAAGCUUACCUCUUGAAGAUCGAGAGGAGAGACGAUCCUAACUUGGAGAUGGGAGAAAUCUAGCUCCUUGGGUCUCCAAGCUCUAAAACUUGAUCUUAGCUUCAAAAAUCUUUAAAACCAAGUUAAAACUUGUUAAAACUUGAAAGAUUUGAGGAAAAUCAUCAAAAUCGACCAUGGGAGGGCAUAGACUCACCGUUGGCCAAAAAUAGGGGAGAAAGCUCGCCCAUUUUCGGCCAUGGGGCCUUUUAUAGGUGGCUGGCCAGGCCACCUUCGGAAGCCGAAGGUGACUCCAAAACUCAUGCAUGUUCGGCAGCCGAACAUGAGAUUCGACGGCCGAACCUGGAUUUUCCUCAAUGGUCUUUUUCAUUGAAAACUCAAUUUCUUUCUUACUUAAAGCCAUAAAAUACAUGAAAAUAUUUUAUAAAAACAUGUUUUUACCCUUCUAGAGGUUUCCGACAUCCGAGAUUCCACCGGACGGUAGGAAUUCCGAUACCGGAGUCUAGCCGGGUAUUACAUUUGUGGCUUUUUUCUGUAAGAAUUUCCUUAAUCAUCGACUCAUGCAGCCCAUCAUUCCAUAUAAUUGAAUAAAACACAACAUAUCAAAAAAAUUAUCUCGUUAAUUUUAUUGAUAAAACUUUCAUAAAUUAUAAAUAUUUCAAGAAUGGAAGAUGACACGACCAUCUAACUUGGCUAACUUAUAAGCACCGGAAUGAAUAAUCUUCGAGACCCUAAAUGGUUCUUUUUUAGUUUUCGCUUAACUUACCAGACUCAGCAUUAUUGCCUGUUAUAUCAGACUGCCUAAGAACUAAGUCUCCUACAUUAAAAACUCGAGGAUUAUCCUGUGAAUUGAACAUUUGAGACAUCUUAUUUCUGUAAAUAGUCAUUUUGAUUGAGGCUUGUUCUCUUAGGUACUUGGCCUAGUCGAGGUUGAAUUACAUUUUUUUCGGGUCUCCUGAUGACUCAGGAUGUUGGGUCCUAAAACUUCUUACCUGGAUCUCCACGGCAAUUGCCACUUUGGCCCUAUAUACCAGUGAGAAUGAAGUUUUCCCUGUUGCUACUUUUGGAGUUGUUAUGUAUGCCCAAAGGAUAUGAGGUAAUUCCUCAGGCUAGCUGCCUUUGGCUUUAUCGAGCCUUUCCUUCAACUCCUAGAGAAUUGUCAUGUUUGUUAUCUCAGUCAUGUCAUUAGUCUGCUGAUGGUAUGUUAAGCUUAACUGUAAGUCAAUAUCCAAUUUCCUGCAAAAUUCUUUAAACUUGAAAUAGCUCGGUCUGAUCAAGCCAUUAGUCUUAGUCAAGAAAAGUUUAUUUCUAAUUUGUUGAGUGAUGUUGGUAUGUUAUACUGUAAACUUGCUUUGUUUCCUCUACCUAGAGGUUUACAUUUAUCAUCGGGUAUAAGUGAACCUCUUAUUGAAUCAAAUUGUUAUCGAAGGCUUAUUGGGAGACUCUUGUAUAUUAAUCUCACUAGGCCAGACAUUAGCUAUGUUGUACAAUACCUCAGCCAGUUUAUGGCUGCCCAUAAAAGGCCUCAUUGAGAGGCAACCAUGCAUAUUUUACGAUAUCUGAAAGUUACUGUUAAUACUAGGUUUUGUUUUUCUGUUAAUUGUGAUUUUCGAGUCACUGCAUAUUGUGACUCAGAUUGGGCAUCCUAUUGCUUUUCUAGGAAAUCUUUAAUUAGGUUAGGUUUGGGAUCUUUCUUGGGCCCUCUUUGAUUUUUUGAAAAACAAAAAAGCUAUCUAUAGUUUUCAAAUUCUCUGCUGAGGCAGAGUAUAGGGCCAUGGCUGCAACAAUUUGUGAAUUACUUUAGAUUACAUCUAUUUUAUGAGAUUUGCAGGUUCCAGUUAGUUAUUUAAUUUAGCUUCAUUGUGACAACAAGGCGGCUCUCCAAAUUACAGCUAACCCGGUCUUCCAUGAAAGGACCAAACAUAUCGAUAGUGACUGUCACAUAGUGCAGGAACAACUUCAGAAGAGAUUUUUAACUAUUUCUUAUGUAUCAAGUCAAGACCAGAUAGCAGACCUAUUUACUAAGCCUCUGUCAGUUGUCUUACACUAGCACUUUUGCUUCAAGUUGUCUCUAAUGUCUUUCCUAGCUCCAACUUGAAAGGGGGGUGUAGAAGAAUAUGAAUGACGACUUGGCGACCUAAUGACCGAUUGACGACCUGACGACCUAAUGACCGACCGAUGACCUAACGACCUAAUGAUUGACUGGCGACCUGAUUAACUAAGUUAUAUUAUUUUAAAUGCUAUUUUGUAAAUGAGCUUUAUUAAGACCAGAUUAUUUUAGCUUGAAUUCUUUAAGAGAUAUUGUGUUAUUUUCUUUUUUGGACUGUGCAUUGUACGUGAAAUAGAUUUAUAGGCUUAAUAUAAAUGGUAUCUCUCGUAUAGGAUUGAUUCAUAAUUAAUAUAUCUGAAAUAUUAUUCAUUUCUCUUUCCUCACGGAGUCAUAUCAAUAAUAAUAAAAAAAAUCCAAUAAAGUCAAAGCCUCCAAUACAAUUCCAAUACCUCGAAACCUUGAUGGGUCUACCAUAUAAGCAAUGGAGAAUGUUGUGGAUGAUGGAAUCAAUCAUAUAAUUUUCCAUCAUUUUAAAAUGGGCAAAAUGGAUAGAAAUGAUUAAACUUUUUUUCCUUUUGUUGUCUUUUGUUAAUUAUAGUUAACAUCUGGCCGAACACUAUUUGAUAUAGUCUGGAGAUAAGUAUAAACUUUGACUGACCUCUUCAAUGCCCGGAACGACUAGGCCGACCACUUCAAGACUCGCAUCACAAAUAAGACAAUUGAAUACAGGAAAAGCCAACCUCAAUGACCGGAAGGAACUUGCCUUUGUAUAGGUCGGAUGAGCCGUGUACAAUCUGAUGAAACCAAAGUAAGACGCCGACCUCCAAUGCGAUGGUCGACUGCUCUAGCCCUCUCUGAGGUAUUAAAUGCACGUGUGAAAAGGUUACCCAACUGCUUGACACACCUGCCAAAGGGCAUUAGAACACGUGUCCACAGUCUCAAAGCAAACCACCAUCGAACGAAAUGGUUUCUUCGCCACACCAUUGCAAGAUUAUCAAAAUUCCUCAACUUGCAAUCGUUGAUCUAAAGAAAAAACUAAACUGAUAAUAUAUUAGAUAUAAGACUCUCUAUGAUCAGAACACAUGUUCACGGUCUGAUCAGGUUUAAAGAACCGAAGAGAAUCGACCUCAGUAAAGGCCCAGCAGGCCCAACACGAUUUGAUAUAGUCUAGAGAUAAGUACAAACUUUGACCAACCUCUUCAAUGUACGGAACGACUAGACCGACCACUUCAAGAGACACAUCACAAAUAAGACAAUUGAAUACAGGAAAAGCCGACCUCAAUGACCGGAAGGAACUUGCCUUUGUAUAGGUCGGAUGAGCCGAGUACAAUCUGAUGAAACCAGAGUAAGGCCUCGACCUCCAACGUGAUGACCGACCUCUUCAAUGUACGGAACGACUAGACUGACCACUUCAAGACUCACAUCACAAAUAAGACAAUUGAAUACAGGAAAAGCCGACCUCAAUGACCGGAAGGAACUUGCCUUUGUAUAGGUCGGAUGAGCCGAGUACAAUCUGAUGAAACCAGAGUAAGGCGCCGACCUCCAACGUGAUGACCGACCCGCAGCCCUCUCUGAGGUAUUAAAUGCGCAUGCGGAAAGGCUGCCCAGCCGCCUGACACACCUGCCAAAAGAACAUGGGCAAACCGGCUCUACAUUAAUUAAUCAAUUGCCAACUACUUAACAUACCUAUCACAGUACGCUACCAUCCAAUCUGAUGGGACAUAAAGCAGAUAAUCGAGGUACAAAAAUCCUUGAACCAACCUCUCUCAAGAGGCUCUUGACUCUCCCGGGGACUAGCUCUCCAAAAGCUAAUCUCUCUCAUAUACUCAUAAAAAAAUCCUCAAAAAAGAGACUCUCUGAAAAUUCCUCUUGAAAUUUUUUAUUAUUUAUUUUUUCUUUAUAUUAAUGAAUCUCAUAUAAUUUUUUAUUUAACUUAAAUGUCGGAGGGUCUUCAUCGAACCAUCCUAAUGAACCCUUGACUGUCUUCUUCAAAUCACUUUCUCAAGUAUGGAAAGAUCUAACAAAAUCAAUCAUGGAUCAACAGUCAACCCAUUAAAUUGAGUCCAUAUUUAGGUAUCAUCGUCUGGAUAUCCCGCUGGAUAUCGUUUUAUCAUACAUAAAAUAAAAAUAAAAUAAAAUAAAACUAAAAAAGAAAUUAACCGACAAAAUUUUAUAAAAAGAAACAGGUCCUUCCAGUGCCCAAAAGGCGGAGAAAGUUUAACUAAAACCAAAAAACGAAACUCGCAGAUAAAUACCUUCCAAAAACUAGAUGUAAACACAAUUUGAAAGUACAAAAGCUCAAACUUUCUACCUCUUCGCCUUUCCUUCCCUUUCCCUAAACUUUUUCUUUCCCUUUCUCUUUUUUUAUUUGUAUCAAUAAUGAAGAUUCACACAGAAAUUUUGCUAUGUGCCAAAAAUUUAUUAUUAUUAUUAUUAUUAUUUUGAUAUUAACAUUAUUUCAAUAUUAUCAUUAAGCGUUUAUAAAAAUGUCAUAAAUUAAUUUCAAUUGAUUAUAUGAAUACACAUAUUUAUGAUGAAAUGUAUAAUUAUAAUUCUUCAAUUAUAUUUAUGUUCAAGUACACGCACUUUAAAAAAUGAAUUAUGUUUAUUAUCAUUAUAAAUUUUAACACUCCGGGACCCAUUUUUUCAUACCCAUACCCGUCCAUUACUAAAUGAACGGGUUCUACCCAUUACAUUGGGUCAGGCGGGCGGGCAAAGUGGCCCAUUAAUAAUCGAAAGGAGCCCAUACUGAUGCUGCUGUGGGCUUGUCGCUUAGGGUUAUUCAAAUUGCUAUCUUUUAUUUGGCAAUCGUCACUCACUGCCGCCCCCUUUCCCCUUGUUUUGGAUCUCUCCUUCCCUGCAUUAGCUUGCUCUCUCUGUGCGUCUGCCGUUGUCACUGAAGACGUCUGGGUCUUUUGUUCUCACAGCAACCACAACAAAUUUUCUAGCAGCAUUCCUUCUCGGUACCUCUUCUAUCUUAGUAUUCUUCAAUUUUUUUAGUGUAAAUUUCUGUUGCUGUUAUGAUUUUUUUUUAUUGAUUAGGAACUAGAGAAUAAUGAGGCAAAAUUGUCUUGAACGCUAAAACUUUUUUGAGUUUUUUUUUUUAAUUAUUAUUAGAGUUUAUGGAAAAAAGUUUUUAUUGGAAAUCAGAUGCUUUAAGGAAAACGUUAUCCUUGGAAUAUCUGGUAAUUGUGUUUGUUCUUAUAUAUUAUUAAUUCAUAGAUGUAUCUCAUUGUUUUUGGUGUUUACUUGUGUUAUUUCAGAUUUUCGUUCGUUUCUGGUUCCAUUCAUUUAAUUUCUGCUAGAAGAUGGCAUCUCGUUUCUGGGGACAGGUCUGUUAUAGUUCUAAGUCUUCAUUUUGGGAAUUUGUAUGCUAGGGGAAUAUAAAUGAAAUUGUUUGCUGCUGCUUAUUUUUUCAGGGUGGCAGCGACUCUGAGGAGGAAGAGAGUGAAUUUGAAGAAGAUAUUGAUAAUGAGGCAGCAGGCGAGUCUACCACUCAAGCCCCACAAAACAGGUAUCUCAGGGGAACCGCUAGUGAUAGUGAUGACUCUGAUGAUCAAAAGCGUGUUGUCAGAUCCGCCAAAGACAAACGAUUUGAGGAGAUGUCGGCUACUGUUGAUCAAAUGAAGAAUGCAAUGAAGAUCAAUGAUUGGGUUAGCUUACAAGAGAGCUUUGAUAAAAUCAAUAAACAGCUUGAGAAAGUCAUGAGGGUGACAGAAUCUGACAAGGUCCCCACCCUUUACAUCAAAGCUCUUGUGAUGUUGGAGGAUUUCUUGAAUCAGGCUUUGGCAAAUAAGGAAGCAAAGAAGAAGAUGAGCAGUAGUAAUGCUAAGGCCUUGAACUCAAUGAAGCAGAAACUGAAGAAGAACAAUAAGCAAUAUGAGGAUUUGAUUAAUAAAUAUAGAGAGAAUCCAGAGAGUGAGGAGGAAGAGGAGGGAGAUGAGGAGACAGAAGAGGAGGAAGAUUCAGACUCAGAGUUUGUGGAGGACCCUUCAAAGAUUGCAAUGUCUGAUGAGGAUGAAGAGGAUGAUGAAGAUCGUCAGGAUAAUCGAACUGAGAUUGAAGGUGAUUGGCAGAAGAUGAUGAGCAAGAAAGAUAAGCUCAUGGAUAGACAGUUCAUGAAAGAUCCUAGUGAAAUAACCUGGGAUACAGUGAACAAAAAGUUUAAAGAGGUUGUUGCUGCUCGAGGUAGGAAGGGAACUGGAAGGUUUGAGCAGGUUGAGCAACUAACUUUCUUGACUAAGGUCGCUAAGACCCCUGCACAGAAGCUUGAGAUUCUUUUUAGUGUGGUCUCUGCCCAGUUUGAUGUGAAUCCAGGACUUAGUGGUCAUAUGCCCAUAAACAUAUGGAAGAAAUGCGUGCAGAAUAUGCUGGUUAUUCUUGAUAUUCUGGUCCAGUAUCCUAACAUUGUAGUGGAUGACAUGGUUGAGCCUGAUGAGAAAGAAACCCAGAAGGGGACAGACUAUGAUGGAACUAUUCGGGUUUGGGGGAACUUGGUGGCUUUCCUUGAGCGGAUAGAUGUUGAGUUCUUCAAGAGUUUGCAAUGUAUUGAUCCACAUACACGUGAAUAUGUUGAGAGACUGCAGGAUGAACCUAUGUUUUCGGUGCUCGCUCAAAGUGUCCAAGAGUAUCUAGAGAGGGUCAGAGACUUCAAAGCUGCAUCAAGGGUUGCCCUUAGGCGGGUUGAGCUGAUCUACUACAAACCGCAAGAGGUUUAUGAUGCUAUGAGGAAACUGGCUGAACAGGCAGAUGAUGGUGAAAAGUCAGGGGAGGAGCCUAAGGUUGAGGAAAGUAAGGGUCCAUCUGCUUUCGUUGCCACUCUAGAGCUUGUGCCCCGAAAGCCUACCUUCCCUGAGAGCAGCAGAACAAUGAUGGAUAUGUUGGUCUCUCUCAUAUACAAGUAUGGAGAUGAGCGAACUAAAGCUCGUGCAAUGCUUUGUGAUAUUUACCACCAUGCACUAUUGGAUGAGUUCUCAACCUCCCGGGACUUGUUAUUGAUGAGUCACCUGCAGGAUAGUGUCCAACAUAUGGACAUUUCAUCCCAGAUUCUUUUCAACAGGGCUAUGGCACAGCUUGGUUUAUGUGCAUUCCGUGUUGGGCUAAUCACUGAAGGACAUGGUUGCCUUUCUGAAUUGUAUUCCGGUGGAAGGGUAAAGGAAUUGCUGGCACAAGGUGUUUCACAAAGUCGGUAUCAUGAGAAGACUCCAGAACAGGUACGUCUCUUUCUGUAUAAUCUGAUAUGUGUUCAAUAUCUGUCAUGUAAUUGGUUGUUUUUGCGUCAUUUCAUGUUUUCAACAACUUGGAAGUUGCAGAAGCGUCAGUAAUUGUUAACUUUGCUGUUUUAAAGUUAACAACCUAUAGUUUUUGGAUUCUUGUGAUAGUGUUGUUGAAUGCAAGACUUUUAGCAUGAUCUAUGACAUUUAUAUUAUUUUAUGACUUAUUGUUUUAAAAAAAGAAAUGGUCCAUUCGUUGGUAGAGACCGAUUGUUUAAAUUGAAUGCGAAAAAGAAAUGGCGAUUGGUAUAAUACACUAUGCAAUUCUCUAAAUAUUGUCGCUUAUUUUCCUUCAUUUUUUUUCAUCAAACCUGUAAAAUUUUGGUGCACAUUCCAGAUUAGAUGCAUUUUUAGUGUGUAUGUGGAAUUUUAUUAUUUUAUAAUAAUGGUCUGUGUCAAGAGUUUGAUCCAAUGCUUGCAAACUCCCUUUCCAUGUUGUUCAAGAAUUUCUCAUUAAUGAUUUUAGUGUGGAAGUCGUAAAUGUGGUGUUGCAAUUUUGUUGCUUUUGAGACUGCACCUUAAAUGAAAAGAUUUUCAAACUAAAGACUUCCUACUAUAGAUGUAAUAAAUCUAUUCACAUGUAGGGUAAGAAUAUAUAUGAUAUAGUUGACUUUUUCCAAAUGCUUAUGCUGCUAGUUGAGUAAACUGAUUUUUGUGUGCACUCGAAUUUUCAUUUUGGAAGUGAACCAUAACCUUUUGUGGUACAGAACCUCACUUUUUCAUUCUGGAGAUCCAAAAUGCAUGUAGCAUAUAUUGGAGAUAAAAUGGGCGAGGGUUGAUUAGGUUGGUUUGGAUAUGUCCAAUAUAGCAUCAAAUAUCUUAGCAUGGAAGUGUGAUAUGUUAGUAGGGGAAGGGGGAGACCUAAAGUGACAUGGGUAGAAGUGGUUUCAAAAUAUAUACAAGUUUUGGAUAUUGUUACGGACUUGGUGUCCUGUAGAGAUGAACAGCUGACGCUAACUAGUUUGGGAAGGUUCAGCUGUUGCGGGGGAUUGUUUGGGGUUAUUAGAUCUAAUAACAUUAGGUAAACUAAUUGUUACAUACUACUACUACUACUACUAUGCCUUUCAGAACACAAAGCAUAGAUCCAUAGAUGAUAUCUAGCUUGAUGUCAGACUUUACAUGCUGCCAUAACAGACUACUCUUAAAAAGGAUUAGGUAGGAAUUUUAACUUUUAAUGUCCUGGUGUUUCCGAGACUUACAUGUUAGCAUGGCCCUAGUCAAUUAAGUUUUGGUUAUGAAUCAUGAUGCAGCUCUCAACAUUUUCUUAUACUUGUCUUUGCUGUCUUUCCUGUAUUUUCUUUCCCCCCUCCCAAGUGAGGAUAUUUUAACCAACUGAUUCAGAGAUUCAGUGUCGUGACUUUUCUCUCCCUUUUAUCUCGCAAGGGCCAAUGUAGCAUUCACUGGAGCGCAAAAAAAAAAAGGUAUUCUUUGUCUGGUACUUUGCUAGUGGUGUUUAAGCCUUGGGAGGUGUUCUGCAGCUGCUGUUGCAAUUUGAUGGGCUUGUGAACUAGUUCAAAAUAAAUGUGUGUAUGAUCCGUAAGAUUGAUUUAUAGCUGAAAGGGUUUGUAGUUGGGUUACUUAUUAUAUGUAAUGUAAUUCUGGCUAUUUCUGUGCUUUCUUGUUUGAAGUUUUAAGCAUCAUGGAGUGGACUGCAUAGAAGGCCCUUGGGUGGCGCAAAACAUGUUAUAUGAUAGUUGUUUUGUUUUCAUGGUCAGAUAAUUUAAUUGUGUUAUAUGAAGUAUUGGUGAUGUUUUUGCAUUGUUAUUGUGAAAAUAUUUUUUGUUACUUUUGAUCCAAAUGUAGCAUUGCUGUUAAGGCAUGCAUAUAUUAUUUUCCCAAGUGUCCUCUUAACAGUCGUAAAAAUCGAUAACCACAGGAAAGGCUGGAAAGGAGACGCCAGAUGCCAUAUCAUAUGCACAUAAAUCUUGAGCUUCUAGAGGCGGUUCAUCUCAUUUGUGCCAUGCUGCUGGAGGUCCCCAACAUGGCAGCCAACACUCUUGAUGCUAAGCGCAAAGUCAUUAGCAAGACAUUUAGGCGGUUGCUUGAGGUGAGUGAGAGGCAAACUUUCACAGGCCCUCCUGAAAAUGUCAGGGAUCAUGUGAUGACUGCCACUCGAGCUCUUACUAAGGGAGAUUUCCAGAAGGCCUUUGAUGUUAUCAAGUCUCUUGAUUUCUGGAGGCUUCUAAGGAACAGAGACAGUGUCCUUGAGAUGCUUAAGGCCAAGAUCAAGGAAGAAGCUCUGAGGACCUACCUUUUUACCUACUCAUCCUCUUAUGGGUCGCAUAGCUUGGACCAACUCACCAAAAUGUUUGAUCUCUCUGGAGCCCAGAUUCACAGCAUUGUUAGCAAGAUGAUGAUCAAUGAAGAGCUGCAUGCGAGUUGGGACCAGCCAACACAGUGCAUCGUCUUUCAUGAUGUUGAGCACACAAGGUUGCAGGUUCUGGCAUUCCACUUAACAGAGAAGCUAUCAGUUCUUGCUGAAAGUAAUGAAAGGGCAAUAGAGGCAAGGAUUGGUGGUGGUGCUGGUUUGGAUUUGCCUAUGAGGCGGAAAGAUGGCCAGGAUUAUGCUAGCAUGGCUGCUGGUGGUGGCAAGUGGCAAGACAAUUCAUCUUUCACUCAGGGGAGGCAAGGGUCAGGGCGUUCAGGAUAUAAUGUUGGUGGUGGGAGACCACCAGCAUUAAGCCAAGGUACUGGUGGUGGUUAUUCAAGAGGGACACGUUCAGGUGGAUAUUCUGGAGGUUCACGAUACCAAGACGGUGCAUAUGGCGGGCCAGGAAGAACUGGAGUGAGGGGAUCUCAAAUGGAUGGUUCUAACCGUAUGGUUAAUCUUAACAGGGGAGUUCGUGCUUAAGGAUAAAACAGAGAGUGCUGAAAGAAAGAGAGGCUAUCAAUUUUUGUUCAACCAACAAGUGUCUUCAGUUGGUUGAAGAGAUUUGUUUUGUUGUUGCUUUUGCAUUUCAUCUCCAUUUAUAAGCGUAAUUGAACGCCAAAACUAGCCUUCAAAUUUUAUUUUUGGCCAAGAAGAGCAUGCAAACAUCUAUUUUAAAUCAGGUGCUAUAUUCCUUGUUUGAAUUAUUGAAUUUGUCCUCAGGGUAUAUCAAGAUAAAAUUAAAUUUCGCCUUUUUUGUUUUUUCUAAGAAAAGAUAGAUUGCGUUUAUAAAACUCAAACAUCUAGCUUUGGGAGGGCGACUGGCUCAUUUUCAAAUAACAAGCUCUAAAUCCACACAACCAACAUGGAGAAAACACAUUUCUCAGAACAAAAGCAGCCCCCCUUUAACCAUAAAACUCAGAUUUGGGAUGAAAACAAUAGACACAUAUUUAAAAAUUACCUGAGAUAGUGAGGGAAGACCAAAACUAGGCCCCAAAGAAGAGUACCACCACAGAAGGAGAAAAUUUGAUUGGAUUUUCUCUUUCAAGAAAGACGAGAGAGGUAAAAGACUUGACGGGAUAGCCUGUUCAUAUUAUUAGUUUUAACAAAUUAAGAAAUGUUAUUACGUUAAUCAAAACUGUAAUUCAAAGGCUUAAAAUAUACUUACACCCUAUUAAACUCUUAAACUAAAAUUAUAAAUUGAUUACAAAAAUUAUAACAAUUAAACAUUAAUAUGAAAAAUAAAAGUUGAUUACAUAUAUUCUUAAUUUUGCUGGAUUUGUUUUAAAUUUUUAUAAAUUAUAAAGUUAGACAAAAAUAAUUUUAUUAUUUUAUGAAAUUUAAAACACAAUUGAAGAUUUUUAGAGUAUAAUUAAUAAAUAAUGAAAUUUUAUUUUGUUAAUUCAAUAAUGACAUAAUUAAUUUAUAUUUAAUUAUUAUACUUUUUAUAAAUUUAUGCAUUUAAUAAUUAUAAUUUAAUUCAUCAAUUUAAUGGAUUAACUUCAAAUACUAUAAGAGUAUAGACAUGUAUUUAACUUUUUUUUUUAUUCAUUGUCCAUCAUCAAUUAGUAAUUUCUUGUGGUAUUUGCAUUUGAAUUAGGUCAUUGCUUGCCAGGGUACUUUAAUCCCAUAUUUAACCUUUGAUUUGAAAAUGUAUCAAUUCGUGUGCUAAGCUUUUCCUUAAAAAGGAGAUUUAGAAAAAAAUUGGGUUUAGGGACGAGUGAAUAAGUUUAAAAUAAGUUUAAUCCCUUUCCUUCCUUAUUUUCUCUUUAUAUCUCUUCUCUUUCAUUUUUUAAUGACGUCUUCUCAUCAUGCAUGACCGUAAAUAAGAAUAUUCUUUUUUUUUAUUGUUAAACAGUUAUUUAAUUCCUUUCUAUACCGGUAUGAGUCAAUGUAUAGGGGUUUGUUCCCUGACUGUCUCAUAGAGUUCUUCUUUGAUGAGUCAGGACUCCGAUCAAUCUGAUCUGCGCAUUAAUAAACCAGUUUCUGUAGUGAAAUCUGAUAGAGUUUAAGCAUAACUCUCCUACAAGAGUUGACCAUGCCCGGUGCCCAGCGUUCAUAAGGAAAUUUGAUUGACUGUUUAAGCAAACAUCUCUAAUAAACUUAGUUGCUAUGCUAUGACUGACUGGAUGAGUUUGUGCUUUUCUAGCUUUGCAUGUAUCUUUUCUUAAUGGAGCCAAAUCUUCCAUUAGAUCCUAGGGUUUUUCUGUAAUGGGCCAAAGAUUCUUUCUUGUGGGUCCACUAUAAUCUUUGCUAGUAACCUUUUUUUAGAUGUAAUCUUGUUAUCCAUAUGAUGCAAAAUACUUAUAUUUCCUUCUUUUUAUACCACAACAUUGCCACAGAAGAUAUUAUCAGCAAACAUGCAGCAUUUUGGCGUAAGAGAUUUUACUAUAACGUUUUAAAAUUUAGGAAUUUUAUGGUAACAAAAAUAAAAAGGGUAAACUACAGUUUAGUCCCUCUAGUUUAAUAAAAUAUUUACUUUAGUUCUUAUGUUUUUAAAAACCUACAGUUUAAUCUUUCACAUUUAAAAAAACUGCAAAAUAGUUCCUACCGUUAAAUUUUCAGUUAACCUUCCAUUUAUUUUAAUGAAAAUGACUAAACUACUCUUUAAAUGAAAAGAUCCAAUCAAACAUUAUUUUUCACUUUCAAAUUAGCCCAUCUCACUACCUCUCUGUAACGACCCCAAAAUGGACCGUCACCGGCGCUAGGAUUCAGGUCGGCUUAAGGCCGCCAUAACCCGUAGCAAACCUGCUAUACUCUCUGUGUACAUGUAAAUCUCAUACAUGAUCAUACAUUUUCUGUGAAAAUAAAAACUCUUUUCUGAACCAAGGCUUAACCUGUGCAUGCACUAUCUCUGUACUCUGUACUCUGUACUCUGUACCCCUGACUAGAGCUUGCUCUAGAUGGGUUAACUCAUACCUGUUAAGCCUGGUAGUUCACAUACGCUGUAAAACAUAUACAUAUACAGAUCAUGUACAUAACAACAGCUUUACAACACAAACAACUAAGUCAAGCACAUCUGUAACUGAAAACAUAACUAUUACAUCUCUUUAACAUUACAUGUCCACUCUACACUAUUACAUUUCUCGUUACUCUUUCUAUGCUCUGCUGACUUGCCCUGUACACUGUACACUGAACCUGCAAAACUGGGGUUAAGGGAGUGGGAUGAGCUCUAUAGCCCAGUGAGUAGAACAGUAAAACAACACAGUCAAACCACAUCAAGAGUAAAUCUGUCACCACAUAGUCCCAGUAACUCUGUGCCAGGGCGUAGAAUCGAGCACCUGGUCUUCCUGUCAUAUAUAUAUAUAUGUGUAUAUAACACCUCUGUACUUACCAUUGCCAGGGCGUAGUCAAAGGCUCCUGGUCUUUACUAUAACUGCCAGGGCAUAGUCAAAGGCUCCUGGUCUUUACUAUACCUGCCAGGGCGUAGUCAAAGGCUCCUGGACUUUCAACUAAUCAUGAAAACGAAUCAAAUCUGUGCAUGAGUUAAUGAAAACAUGGAAGAAAACUCACAAAGGACAGGGUUUCACCUUAGAAGAUAAAAGAAACGGUGCUUGCACCGCUUCAACCGACUGAGGGCCAUUUAUAGGUGGCUAGCCAGACCACCUUCGGCAGCCACACGUGAAACCGAAAGCCAUGCAUGUUCGGCGGCCGAACCUCAACUUCGGCGGCCGAACCUGGCUUUUCUGCCUUGGUUCAUUUCACUCAAAAACUCAUUUCUUAGGCAUAAAACUUAAUAAACAUAUCAAAACAUUUAAGAAAAACAUAAUUCUAACCCUUCUAGAGACUUCCGACAUCCCGGACUCCACCGGAAAGUAGACUUCCGAUACCGGACUCUAACAGAGUAUUACACUCUCCUUCCCGAUUCUCUUCUUCCUUUUCUCCUCAUCAUUCUCCUUCUUUUCUUGAUCCUCUUCUUCCUUCUUCUUCCGUGUUUGAUUUCAUGCAAUUGGGCGAGAUGGUAAUGGUGAUUAUACGAAUAUAGGUAAAUCUGAAGAGCUUCUUCCUUCUCUCCUCAUCCUUCUUCUUCUUCUGUGUUUGAUUUCAUGCAAUUGGGCGAGAUGGUAGUGGUGAUUAUACGAAUAUGGAUAAAUCUGAAGAGUUUCUUCCUUUUCUCCUCAUCCUUUUCUCCUCAUCCUUCUUCUUCUUCUGUAUUUGAUUUCAUGCAAUUAGGCGAGAUGGUAGUGGUGAUUAUACGAAUAUGGAUAAAUCUGAAUAGCUUCUUCCUUCUCUCCUCAUCCUUCUUAUUUUUCUGUGUUUGAUUUCAUGCAAUUGGGCGAGAUGGUAGUGGUGAUUAUACGAAUAUGGAUAAAUCUGAAGAGAGAAGAAGAACAAUGAUGAGAAUAAAAUAGAGCAGAUAAGUGAGUAAGAGCAGCCGCAACUAAGAAGAAGGAGGAUGAGGAGAAGAAGAAGGAGAAGGAGAGGAUUGAGAAGGGGAGAUAGUGGGAUGGAGUGAAUACUGUUUGGUUGAAUUUUUUUACUUAAAGGGUAGUUUAGUUAUUUUCAUUAAAAUAAACGGAAGGUUAAUUGAAAAUUUGACGGUAGAGACUAUUUUGCAGUUUUUUUAAAUGUGAAAAAUUAAAUUAUAGGUUUUUAAAAAUACAGAAACUAAAGUAAAUAUUUCAUUAAACUAGAGGGAUUAAACUGUAGUUUACCCAAAUAAAAAUGAUAACAUGAUGUGAAAUACUCUUCAAACUCGAGGGAUUACCAGUAAAAAUUACUCAAAAACUAAGGCUUCAUUUGUUUCAAGAGAAUUAUUUUUUAUAUUUUUUAAUGUUUGAGACACAUAUGAAAAUUAGUUAGAAUAUUUUUUUAAUAAAAGAAAAAUAUUAAAUCAUAUGUAAAAUGACUUCUUUCUACGUUUUGAAAAUCUUAGUAAGAUCUUUUUAUAUAAAUGUAUUAAUAUAUAUAUUAUUUUUAAGGGUUGGUGUUAAAAAUUCUAAUUUUUGUAUCACUUUACGAUUUAAUUUUUAGUUUUCAAUUUUGGCACAAUAAACUAUUUUUUUUUAAAUUCUUAAAAAAUUUUAUUCUAAUUUCAAACUGAAAUUAGAUAGAGCCUGUUUUCAUCUACCUAGCAAAUCUAAUCCCGUGGGUUAUUUUGCUAUUAUUUAAUCGGGCCGCUUGAUAAAUUUUUAAUUAUGGUAUUUCAUACAAAUUUUUACAAAUCAGUGUAAUUUGAUUUAUUUCAAAGAAAUUGAAUUUCUCAAAGCAACUCCUACAAAUUUUAUAUAUCAUUUCAAGCAAUCUCAACAACAGCUCACAAAUUCUAAAAAAUAAAACACAAAUUACAUAUGUAGAUAUAAAAAAUUGAAUUGCAGAUUACACGAAAAUAUAGAUUUGAACAAAUAAAUCCAAACACAAAAAUUAUAAAUUAUUCACAAAUAACAAAUCCACAUGCGGACAAAGAAUAAACAGCCAGAGGAACACAAAUUAUACAAUUAAAUCUAAAGCCAAACAUCAAACAUAGCCUCACAAUACCGUAAUCAAUAACCAACUAAAGAUUCAAAGUCAUAUGCCCAUAUGGAAUCAAACAAGAUAAAAAUCUACUGUCGAGGCUUUAGAAAACUAAAGCUAGAUAGAUCAAUUCACCUUCAUUGCUGCUGGAUGACCAUCUGCCACCUUGAAAAUUAACUCUAAUGAUAUAGCUUGCAUUCACAUCAUUAGAUGUUGAAGAUUCAACAUCAUCUGCCUUCAUGCGAGAUGUCCAUGUCAACGGAAAUAAGGAAGUGGCAGUGAGCGAAGAUAAAGUGGCAGAAGGUCGACGACAACAACACCAGUCUUUAUACCCAUAUUAUAACUGAGUAUCUAACCAUAUUAUGGCUGAGCAUCAGUGUAGAGAUUGAAGGAGAAGGAAAAGGAGCUCUGAAAAAAAAAACAGAGAAGGGUGUGGAAUGGAAGGUGGAGCCGCGGUUGAAAAACUUUUGAUGUUUAAAGUUGGGAUGUUAAUGAAUUAGGGUUUUAUUUAGUUUGGUUAAAAAUUAAAGUUGAAUUCAAAUCUUAUUGACUAAUUAAUUAAAUCAAAC
rnacentral:lncRNA from 1 species